AUUGAAACACUGGUUCCCAUAUGAUCACUGAAGUUAAGCAACAUUGAGCCUGGUCAGUAUCUAGAUAGGUGACUGCUUGGGGAUGCCAGGUGUUGUAAG